UUGAAACACAGGUUCCCUACACGAUCACAGAAGUUAAGCAAUGUUGAGCCUGGUCAGUACCUAGAUGGGUGACUGUUAGGGAAUACUAUGUGCU